rnacentral:rRNA from 1 species
GUGCCAGCCGCCGCGGUAAGACGAAGGUGGCGAGCGUUGUUCGAAAUCACUGGGCUUAAAGGGCGCGUAGGCGGAUCGGCACGUGUCUUGUGAAAUCCCCCGGCUUAACCGGGGAAUUGCUUGGCAAACGGCCGGUCUUGAGGCAAGCAGGGGUGCGUGGAACUCUUGGUGGAGCGGUGGAAUGCGUAGAUAUCAAGAGGAACGCCGAAGGUGAAGACAGCGCACUGGGCUUGCCCUGACGCUGAGGCGCGAAAGCGUGGGGAGCAAACAGGAUUAGAUACCCUGGUAGUCCACGCUGUAAACGAUGCCUACUAGGUUGUGGGGGUUCUGACGCCUUCACAGUCGUAGCAAAAGUGUUAAGUAGGCCGCCUGGGGAGUACGGUCGCAAGGCUAAAACUCAAAUAAAUUGACGG